rnacentral:misc_RNA from 1 species
GAUGAAGAACGUAGCAAAAUGCGAUAAGUAAUGUGAAUUGCAGAAUUCAGUGAAUCAUCGAAUCUUUGAACGCACAUUGCGCCCGCUGGUAUUCCGGCGGGCAUGCCUGUUCGAGCGUCAUUUCAACCCUCAAGCCCCCGGGUUUGGUGUUGGGGAUCGGCUCUGCCUUCUGGCGGUGCCGCCCCCGAAAUACAUUGGCGGUCUCGCUGCAGCCUCCAUUGCGUAGUAGCUAACACCUCGCAACUGGAACGCGGCGCGGCCAUGCCGUAAAACCCCAACUUCUGAAUGUUGACCUCGGAUCAGGUAGGAAUACCCGCUGAACUUAAGCAUAUCAAUAAGCGAGGA